AUGGAAUUCUGGACAGAAAUCUGGGACUCUGAGCAGGAAUUGCCCCCGUGCCCCAGUGCCAUCCCCAGUGCCAGUGCAAUUCCUAUUCCCAGUGCCAUUGCUAUUCCCACCACCAGUGCCAUUGCUAUUCCCAGUGCCAUUCCUCUUCCCGGUGCCAUUACUAUUCCCACCAAUUCCCGGUGCCAUUGCUAUUCCCACCACAUUCCCGGUGCCAUCCCCAGUGCCAGUGCCAUGCCCGUCACCAGUGCCAUUCCCACCACCAGUGCCAUUCCUAUUCCCAUUUCCAUUGCAAUUCCCAAUGCCAUUCCCAGUGCCAUCACCAGUGCCAUUGCAAUUCCCAGUGCCAUUCCCAUUGCCAAUGUCAUUGCUAUUCCCACCCCACUGCCAUUCCCAUUGCCAUCCCCAAUGCCAUUGCCAUUCCCAUUGCAAUUCCCACUGCCAUUCCCAUUGCCAUUCCACUGCCAUUGCCAUUGCCAUUGCCAUUCCCAUUCCCAUUGCCAUUCCAUUCCCAUUGCCAUUCCCAUUGCCAUUCCCAUUGCCAUUGCCAUUGCCAUGGCCAUUCCUAUUAAUAUUGCCAUUGCCAUUCCCACCCCAUUGCCAUUGCCAUUCCUGUUCCCAUUCCCAUUCCCAUCCCCAUUCCUGUUCCCACUGCCAUUGCCAUUGCUAUUCCUGUUCCUAUUCCUGUCCCUGUUCCUGUCCCUAUUCCCACCCCCAUUCCCAUUCCCAUUCCCAUCCCCAUUCCUGUUCCCAUGGCCAUUCCCAUUGCCAUUCCUGUUCCCAUUCCCAUCCCCAUUCCUGUUCCCACUGCCAUUGCCAUUGCUAUUCCUGUUCCUAUUCCUGUCCCUGUUCCUGUCCCUAUUCCCACCCCCAUUCCCAUUCCCAUUCCCAUCCCCAUUCCUGUUCCCACUGCCAUUCCCAUUGCCAAUCCUGUUCCUAUUCCCAUUCCCAUUCCCAUUCCCAUCCCCAUUCCUGUUCCCAUUCCCAUUGUCAUUCCUGUUCCUAUUCCCAUUCCCAUCCCCAUUCCUGCUCCCACUGCCAUUCCUGUUGCCAUUCCCAUCCCCAUUCCUAUUCCCAUCCCCAUUCCUGCUCCCACUGCCAUUCCCGUUGCCCCCCAGCCCCGCAGUGUCCCAGCCAGGCCCUGGCUGCUGCUGCUCCCGCCAUUCCCAUUGCCAUUCCUGUCCCUGUUCCUGUCCCUAUUCCCAUCCCCAUUCCUGUUCCCACUGCCAUUCCUGUUGCCAUUCCCAUCCCCAUUCCUAUUCCCAUCCCCAUUCCUGCUCCCACUGCCAUUCCCGUUGCCCCCCAGCCCCGCAGUGUCCCAGCCAGGCCCUGGCUGCUGCUGCUCCCAUCCCAGUCCCAGAGGGAGCCAGAGCUGGGAGAUCCCCUCUGAGUGCCGGCACUUCCCAAAUUCCUUCUCAGGCCUUUGGGAUGCUCAUUGCUCAUCCCCUCGCCCAGCGCCUCCCCCUCAAUUCCCUCUCAAACCAAGCACAAACUGUUUUGCCUCAAACCGCACCUCAAUUCCCUCUUAAACCAAGCACAAACUGCUUUGCCUCAAACCACCAAAAGCAGACUUUUCAGGAAUGUUGCAGCAAGCACAGGAGGGAGAGACAAUUCCAAAUCCCCCAGAGUCCAGCAAAAACUCAGAUAAAAGUCCAGGAAAAACUCAGAUAAAAUCGAUACAAAAUCGAUAUAAAAUCCAAUUGCAGCAGAUUUUUCACACCUUAAGAGAAAAUUGAAACCAAUCCCUCAUGCCAAGCCCAGAAAAGGAGGAUGAGGGUGAAGCAGCCCUGGAUUUGAUUUCCAACAUCCCCCACCCCAAGGAGGGAGGAAAUUGCAUGUUCUUACUUUGUAUUCGGGAAUUGACAAAGGGAGGAGAGAGAUUGUCGUGAGAGCCGAGGUCUCUGCUGGCCACGUGCUCAUAGUGAGUCCCAUCUGCAUAGUUCUGGCGAGAAAUUGGGGAAAAGACACAGCUUUACACCCUGCAACAGCACAGCUGCACAGCCCCCACUGCGUCUCAGGCCUCAAGAGGAAACAUCAUUUCAACAGCAAACAGCAUUCCCAGGGGGUUGCAUUUUUCUUCCAAGUAAAAAUCUAGAACUCCUUACUCAGUUUGUACCCUCAAUAGGAAACAUCAUUCCCAGGGAUUUCAGAUUUUUUUUUCCAAGUAAAAAUCCAGAACUCCCCACUCAACUUGAAGCCUCAAUACGAAACAUCAUUUUCAAUAGGAAACCUCAUUCCCAUAGGAUUUCAUUUUUUUUGUUCCUUUUUUUAGUGAUGUGUCCCUUCCCAACAGGAGAAC
rnacentral:lncRNA from 1 species